rnacentral:rRNA from 1 species
AUUGAACGCUGGCGGCAUGCCUUACACAUGCAAGUCGAACGGUAACGGGCCUUCGGGUGCCGACGAGUGGCGAACGGGUGAGUAAUACAUCGGAACGUGCCCGAUCGUGGGGGAUAACGAGGCGAAAGCUUUGCUAAUACCGCAUACGAUCUACGGAUGAAAGCAGGGGACCGCAAGGCCUUGCGCGGACGGAGCGGCCGAUGGCAGAUUAGGUAGUUGGUGGGAUAAAAGCUUACCAAGCCGACGGUCUGUAGCUGGUCCGAGAGGAUGAUCAGCCACACUGGGACUGAGACACGGCCCAGACUCCUACGGGAGGCAGCAGUGGGGAAUUUUGGACAAUGGGCGCAAGCCUGAUCCAGCCAUGCCGCGUGCAGGAUGAAGGCCUUCGGGUUGUAAACUGCUUUUGUACGGAACGAAAAGCCUUCUUUUAAUACAGGAGGGUCAUGACGGUACCGUAAAAAUAAGCACCGGCUAACUACGUG